UAUCUUCACUUGGGGAGAGAAAUACGGAAAGAUCUUUCAUCAGCCCGUUUUAGGGCCAAAACAAGCAACUCCAGGGCUUACAAGAGAAAGUCCGGCUUCCUUUUUUACCACAUGCAGCAAAAAGUUCCUGGUCAUGUUGGUGUGUUCCUCAAUUGCUCAACAAGAAAUGUGCUUCAAAAUGAACAUUGCUGUGACUGGAUCUCAGAAAUAAAGUGAAAAGACUCUCCUCAAAGGAAGAAUAGCAAAGUUAAAGCAAGUGAAUCUUGCUCAGGCGUCAUAUGGUGUCAAAAAAUAACUAUUGGGAUUUGGCUCUAAAUAAAGAAGUGCUUGGGUUGAUUUGAUUUUUUGUUUCAAACAAUAUUUUUCUAGCUUUUGAAACCCCAUUUCACACUGGAAGCAGUGAAAUUGUGAAUAAUUUAAGUGCUCUGUUGCACCCUGUUGUGCAUAUUUGUCUGAAAGAUUAUCUUCUGGAUAGGUUCCAGCUGGAGUGAAGGGCGUUUCCCUCCAGACCUGUUCCCAACCAUCAUCAUGACUUGUAUUUCAGGACUACAACUUCUGCUACUCCUGAUCGGAUUGUUGACCUUGUUCCCUGUAUCGAAUCAAGUGUUGUUUUCUCGGCCUCUCAAUCAUAGUCGCUCUCAUUUUCAUAAGUUUCUUAUUUGUAUGGACAGUAUUAUUAUUUGUUCUUGGUUUUGUGAAAUCGAGCUCCUUGUCAUUUAAUUUUGUUUUUUCUCCGUGAUUACCAGGACGUUUACACCUUAUUUUUCCUUGCACCUUGUGAUGAGCAAUUUCUGUUUGCACUUUGUGCUCAUCUAUAAAUAAAUAUUUUUAUCACA